rnacentral:rRNA from 1 species
CGCUAUCACUCCUACGGGAGGCAGCAGUGGGGAAUAUUGCACAAUGGGGGAAACCCUGAUGCAGCCAUGCCGCGUGUGUGAAGAAGGCCUUCGGGUUGUAAAGCACUUUCAGUAGGGAGGAAGGUAGUGUAGUUAACACCUGCAUUGUUUGACGUUACCUACAGAAGAAGCACCGGCUAACUCCGUGCCAGCAGCCGCGGUAAUACGGAGGGUGCGAGCGUUAAUCGGAAUUACUGGGCGUAAAGCGCAUGCAGGCGGCCUGUUAAGUCAGAUGUGAAAGCCCGGGGCUUAACCUCGGAAUUGCAUUUGAAACUGGCAGGCUAGAGUCUUGUAGAGGGGGUAGAAUUUCAGGUGUAGCGGUGAAAAUGCGUAGAGAUCUGAAGGAAUACCAGUGGCGAAGGCGGCCCCCUGGACAAAGACUGACGCUCAGAUGCGAAAGCGUGGGGAGCAAACAGGAUUAGAUACCCUGGUAG